GACGAACGCUGGCGGCGUGCCUAAUACAUGCAAGUCGAGCGGACCACUUCGGUGGUCAGCGGCGGACGGGUGAGUAACACGUGGGCAACCUGCCUGUAAGACUGGGAUAACACCGGGAAACCGGUGCUAAUACCGGAUAAUCCUUUCCUUCACAUGAGGGAAAGCUGAAAGACGGUUUCGGCUGUCACUUACAGAUGGGCCCGCGGCGCAUUAGCUAGUUGGUGAGGUAACGGCUCACCAAGGCAACGAUGCGUAGCCGACCUGAGAGGGUGAUCGGCAACACUGGGACUGAGACACGGCCCAGACUCCGACGGGAGGCAGCAGUAGGGAAUCUUCCGCAAUGGACGAAAGGCUGACGGAGCAACGCCGCGUGAGCGAUGAAGGCCUUCGGGUCGUAAAGCUCUGUUGUCAGGGAAGAACAAGUACCGGAGUAACUGCCGGUACCUUGACGGUACCUGACCAGAAAGCCACGGCUAACUACGUGCCAGCCGCCGCCGUAACAC
rnacentral:rRNA from 1 species